CUAUCCCACAGGUGGACUAAGACAUAUGCCCGAGAGGAAAAAGCCACAAAAGAAUUGCUCCUAUCACGCUCGCCUAGAGACUUUCCCCAUCAGGAGUGUUGUAAGAGAAAGAGUGAGAAAGGGCAAAGCAGAAAUGUUGGUUGACUGGGAGCCCUGUCCAGUAUGUGGCAAGGAGUGGGCCCAUUCCUGGCAGCCAAAGGAUUCUCUCCAAAUGA